rnacentral:misc_RNA from 1 species
AAGUCGUAACAAGGUUUCCGUAGGUGAACCUGCGGAAGGAUCAUUAACAAAUUAUCCAAUACCAACCACUUGUGCACUGUUGAAGUAUGCUUUGGUAGAGUGCUGGGAUGGCUGUGGCAACACGGCCUCUCGAUCUGCCAGAGUUUUUACCAAUACUAAACAAACAAACGUCUUAUCAAUCUGACUGAACUUCAUUAUACAAAUGAAAAUACAACUUUUAACAAUGGAUCUCUUGGCUCUU